GAUCAAUUCAGCUGAGUAAUGUCACUGUACAAACUUUGGAAUCAGGUGAAAAAAAAUUACAGAGUGACGCUAGUUUGCAAACAGAAAAGGUACAAAGAGUACAACUUGAUUCAGAUGAGAAAACUGUUCAAGAACCCAUUGGAGUAGAACGUGAA